rnacentral:lncRNA from 1 species
AUAAGAAAUAUGCAGUGUGGUGCCACAUUUAAAAGAUUCUAGAAAUUGAUUCUUUAGGUAUUUUCAAAGAACCCAAUUUUAAAAUUGACAAGUUCAAAGAGUUAAAAAUGUCAUUAUACACACAAAAAGUGAAAUAAAUAUGCAAAAUACUACUUAAAAUAUAAAUCCCAACCCAAAUCUGGUGCUUCUCAAUAAAUUAAAUAAGAGUGAAACAAUUCCAAUUUUUUCUUUGUAUUUCAAUGACUGCUUGGAUUUUAAUAAGGACACUGACUAACCUUCUUGAUAUUCUCUAUUUUAAUAGCGGUCAAACCUUUCAGAAUUCACUGUAGUUGAGUAAAUACAAUAGAAAAACUAAAAGUAGCUGGAGAAAAUACAAAUUGGAUUGCAAGAUAAGUUAGAUUGAAAACAUAAAAAUGUAGGUUAGUGUUUGAAGUUUUCAUGUUUUUAGUUAUAUCAAAAUUUUAAAGAUGAUGAAAAUGUGUCAAUAUAAGUAUAUAAGAAAAACGGAUUCCAUAUAAGCAUGAGGUAUAAAAGUAGAUUUACUUUGGAUUUUUAGACUUAUUUCCCUAAAUUAUGAAAAGUUGUUAUGCUGACACUAGUGUUAGAGUGACUCCAAUGCAAGGUAGUAAAAUUUAAACUUUGGUACAAUUUGGAAAAGUUUAAGCCUUUUAAUACGAUUUGACCUUGUUGAAAUCCUUUAAAAAUGAACAGAAUUAUUUUAUUAUGAAAAUGGGUAGUACAUACGUUCAUAAAUUAAUGAUUAUAAAUUGAAUUUAUCAAGUACUUAAAAUAUAGUAAAUGUUAAUCCUCUCAUAAUUCUUGCUGUAUCUAAUGCAUGAAUCUAUGACUUCCUUUGGAUAUAUAUCUAAGUGUGUGUGUGUGUGUGUGUGUGUGAGAGAGAGAGAGAGAGAAUCUACAUGAUACCAAAAGUCUAGGUUAAAAGUGAGCAUAUUUGUUCUAUACAUUAUUACUAAAACCACCUAGGACCAAGUUUACAUUUGUGCCCAAGAUAUGUUCAUAAAUCUUAUUUGCACUUACAGGAAUUCCAGUCACACUUGAAAUCUAAAUUUCCUGAUUUCCCGAAGGAAAUAGCAAAUGGUAAAAGUCAGGGUUUUAUUUUAGAAAAUUAUAUUGUUUUAUAAUUCUUCAAAAUAUUUUUUAAAAUUUGGGGAUGGAGAAAAAACAAAAAAUUAGAAAAUAUAAUGAGAUUUUAAUUAUGAAUUAGAUGAUUUUUUCUUCUUUUAGUAAUUAGUUUAGAAAUUAUGAGGCAGUACAUGUAGGCUUACUAAAUCUAGGAAUGUAGCUGUCUUCAAAUUGCCUGUUAUUCCUCUCAAAUGAGCAGAUAAGGUGUAUCAUAGUUGGUAUCAGAACUCUUUCUAGGGUAUUUAUUGAAGAAUGUUGAUUCUUGUACCUUUUUAUGUUUUAACUUUAUAAUUGUCUACUUGAAAUCCUUUUCCUAAGCUUUACUCUAUAAUUCAUUGAUGUCAUUGUGUGUCUGUGUGUGUCCAUGUGAUUUUAAAAAACCAAAGAAUAUAAAUUAAUAAGACCUAUAGACAAAUGUAAUAGAAGUUUUUAAAUAUAAAAUGGAGUAAGUUUUAACUAGCUUUCAUACAUUAGGAAAUAUGUACAUUUUUUUACACUUUCCCCUUUGUUUUCCAAAGGCUGUGUUUUUGUUGUACAAGGUUAAAUUUCACAUAUAGAGUAUGUCUUUAUCUCGGUAGUAUACUGAAGUUUCUUGUCCUAAACCAUAGGAAUGAUUGUUAAAUGUUCAG